rnacentral:rRNA from 1 species
CGGCAGGCCUAACACAUGCAAGUCGAACGGUAACAGGAAGCAGCUUGCUGCUUGCUGACGAGUGGCGGACGGGUGAGUAAUGUCUGGGAAACUGCCCGAUGGAGGGGGAUAACUACUGGAAACGGUAGCUAAUACCGCAUAAUGUCGCAAGACCAAAGAGGGGGACCUUCGGGCCUCUUGCCAUCGGAUGUGCCCAGAUGGGAUUAGCUUGUUGGUGAGGUAACGGCUCACCAAGGCGACGAUCCCUAGCUGGUCUGAGAGGAUGACCAGCCACACUGGAACUGAGACACGGUCCAGACUCCUACGGGAGGCAGCAGUGGGGAAUAUUGCACAAUGGGCGCAAGCCUGAUGCAGCCAAUGCCGCGUGUAUGAAGAAGGCCUUCGGGUUGUAAAGUACUUUCAGCGGGGAGGAAGGGGUUAAGGUUAAUAACCUUAGCCAUUGACGUUACCCGCAGAAGAAGCACCGGCUAACUCCGUGCCAGCCGCCGC